rnacentral:rRNA from 1 species
CCUACGGGUGGCAGCAGUGGGGAAUAUUGCGCAAUGGGCGAAAGCCUGACGCAGCGACGCCGCGUGAGGGAUGAAGGUCUUCGGAUCGUAAACCUCUGUCAGCAGGGAAGAACGGUAACUGUGCUAAUCAGCAGUGACUUGACGGUACCUGCAACGGAAGCACCGGCUAACUCCGUGCCAGCAGCCGCGGUAAUACGGAGGGUGCGAGCGUUAAUCGGAAUUACUGGGCGCAAAGCGCUCGUAGGCGGUAUGUCAAGUCAAGGGUGAAAUCCCCGCGCUCAACGUGGGAACUGCCUUUGAAACUGGCAAACUGGAGUGUGUGAGAGGAUAGUGGAAUUCCAGGUGUAGGAGUGAAAUCCGUAGAUAUCUGGAGGAACAUCAGUGGCGAAGGCGACUAUCUGGCACAUAACUGACGCUGAGGAGCGAAAGCGUGGGUAGCAAACAGGAUUAGAUACCCGGGUAGUC